rnacentral:rRNA from 1 species
UUGCACGCUGGCGGCAGGCCUAACACCUGCAAGUCGAGCGGAUGAAGGGAGCUUGCUCCUGGAUUCAGCGGCGGACGGGUGAGUAAUGCCUAGGAAUCUGCCUGGUAGUGGGGGAUAACGUCCGGAAACGGGCGCUAAUACCGCAUACGUCCUGAGGGAGAAAGUGGGGGAUCUUCGGACCUCACGCUAUCAGAUGAGCCUAGGUCGGAUUAGCUAGUUGGUGGGGUAAAGGCCUACCAAGGCGACGAUCCGUAACUGGUCUGAGAGGAUGAUCAGUCACACUGGAACUGAGGCACGGUCCAGACUCCUACGGGAGGCAGCAGUGGGGAAUAUUGGACAAUGGGCGAAAGCCUGAUCCAGCCAUGCCGCGUGUGUGAAGAAGGUCUUCGGAUUGUAAAGCACUUUAAGUUGGGAGGAAGGGCAGUAAGUUAAUACCUUGCUGUUUUGACGUUACCAACAGAAUAAGCACCGGCUAACUUCGUG